rnacentral:rRNA from 1 species
GACGAACGCUGGCGGCGUGCUUAACACAUGCAAGUCGAACGGAAAGGCCCUGCUUUUGUGGGGUGCUCGAGUGGCGAACGGGUGAGUAACACGUGAGUAACCUGCCCUUGACUUUGGGAUAACUUCAGGCAACUGGGGCUAAUACCGGAUAGGAGCUCCUGCUGCAUGGUGGGGGUUGGAAAGUUUCGGCGGUUGGGGAUGGACUCGCGGCUUAUCAGCUUGUUGGUGGGGUAGUGGCUUACCAAGGCUUUGACGGGUAGCCGGCCUGAGAGGGUGACCGGCCACAUUGGGACUGAGAUACGGCCCAGACUCCUACGGGAGGCAGCAGUGGGGAAUAUUGCACAAGGGGCGGAAGCCUGAUGCAGCAACGCCGCGUGCGGGAUGACGGCCUUCGGGUUGUAAACCGCUGUCGCCUGUGACGAAGCGUGAGUGACGGUAAUGGGUAAAGAAGCACCGGCUAACUACGUG